UCGGGUGUAGCUCAGUCGGCAGAGCUUUACAGCGUGAAGGGAUAUUGCUGUUGAAUGCCCUUGGUCGUUGGUUCGAGUCCAACCACCCGGU
rnacentral:tRNA from 1 species